UGUGCAAACUCACUUAGUUCUGUUUCUUGAGCUUCCCUUAAAUUUGGCGGCCCUCCGUUUACACGUUUCCCUGAAACUUGCAGGGUUCGCUGAACGUUUUAUUUAUGUUGCAUCUAUAUAAAAAAGUAAAUUUAAACUUUUUGGGAGUAUUAAUUGAAAUGACAUCCUAUAAUCUGGAAAAUCAACCAAUCCAGCAUCAUCAAAGCCAAUCCAACAUAAUGUUUGACAUCAUUCUUCUUCCUCUGUGCAAGAUCAAAUUCCAAUAUCAGAAUCUGGUUUAAUAUCACUGACGUAUGUUGGGAAAUUUAUUGAAUUGCGGUACUUGUACAGCGCAAUACGGCCACCCACCCUCUUUGCCUGCCUGCCUAUCCUUUCAAUACAAUGUGUAUCCUUGGAUGUUCAGCUUCAACCAUGACCACCUUCAGCCAUGUUUCAGUGAUGCCCAUAAUGACAUCUCUCACUGCACUGAGACACCAACUAUAAAAGCAAAGGGGAUGUUAAGGAGUUAUUGGAAAAAGAAACAGUUUAAUAGAAGUGGCACAUGAGGAGGAAUGCUGUACUCUGAUUGAAAUCGGGGCAGACUACUUCAGUGCAACAUCUAAACUCAUUUUCUCUAUUAGCAAUGCAAUUUUUUUCUCUGUCAGCAGAAUUAUUUUUGCCCACAAGUGGCUGUGGAUUCAGAAACGAUAAGCAGGUAGAAGAGAGAAAAAGGAAUGGCCAAGGUGGCAUGCAACCUUGAAACUAGAGUUUGCGACUAAUUUGAGCAACUGUGAUUUCCUUCUAUGGUGUAGCAGAAUUAAGGAGCUGGAACGUCUACUAGUUCUCUUCGUUCUGAAUUUCUUAUUGAAUUUUACAAGUGGUCAUGAUCUUAUUUUUAAAUAAUGAUCAUGUACUGUACAUAGACACAACCCAAGGUAUAUGGGAAAAAUAACCGGAAGCAGAAAUAAUAUUAGAAAAAAUUGAAAACUGCAAGUUACUUACAGUACCUUUCUUCCUCAGGUACAUCCCUCUCCGAUUGAAAUAAAUGGAGUUUAUGUUUGGCCCAAUGCAGGUUCAAAGAACACGUUUCCUAGUACUUGAGGGAGAACUUCUGGAUCUUUGGUUCCACUCCUGGACUCCAAGAGAAUUUCAGUGAUAUGUGGAUUGGUGAGAAAUUAUCUCAGGAAGUUGGGAGGUUUCUUUUGUGGAGCAACCCUUAACUUGAUGCAGUAAAUGCCAGAGAUCCUACAUGGAACUCAUGUCAUUUCCUCCAAAUCCACACCAAUCUAUUACUUAAACAUUUUAAUUAAAAUCAGUUAAUGAAUUGCAUUAAUUUUAUAUCUACAUGUGACAAUAGACAGAAGAAUGUUAAUUCGGUGGUAAAAUAGCUUAAAACAGAUGACUAAAAUCAUCAACUCUGUGAUCUAUGCUGCCCAUGUACUCACCUCCUCUACUAUCAGGUUCCGUCCUCUCCAGCUAUUUAUCUUUCCUACCCAGCAGGCUUCAUCUAUCACUUUCUAGUUGUCCUCCUUCCCCUCCCCCCCCCCCCAUACCUUUUUAUUCUGGUAUCUUCCCCCUUCCUUUCCAGUCCUGUAGAGGGAUCUCGACCCAAAACAUCAACUCUUUAUUCGUUUUCAUAGAAGCUGCCUGGCCUGCUGAGUUCUGCCAGCAUUUUUUAUGUGUGAUUAAAAUCCAUUUGUUACAUAUUUUGUUUGCAUCAUAUAUUCAUCUCAAGCCUCUUACCAUUAAAUAAAGGAAAGAGAGUGCAUUUUUCUUUCUUAAAAAUUCAAGUGAAAGGGAGUAGAAAACUCAAAUUGAGUCAUUUCUGGAACCUUUUUCUAAUUUUUGGAAAAAACAUCAAGUAUUAGAUAUAUCAAAAUUGAAUAAAAAAGUCUAUUUAAAAUCCUUUAGGUUUUAUUCUUUUUGAAGUAUUAAAUGGUAAUCCAAAUGUUCAUUUUCAACCCUAUUGAUGGCCAAUGAAGUAUGUGAUUUUUCUAACCAAUCACCUGAACAGCAAGUUGGGAACUUACCUAAAUGCAGCUAAUUACAUUUGGCCAAGCUUUGUCCAGAGUGUAAUUAUCCUGCCAGCUCCACAUUCAUUUUCUACUAAUCAGUUAUUACUGUGGGGCCAUGAGCAUACAAACUUCAUACUCCAAUUACAAGGUCCACAGUCCUCCAGUUUGUAAUGCAUGUUUGUAUCCAGCUAAAGAGAUGGGAUUGUAAAACCUUUUUCCCUCACUGGAAAAAUAUAAAUAAAUAAAAUU